CCUACGGGAGGCAGCAGUGGGGAAUAUUGACAAUGGGGGGAACCCUGAUCCAGCCAUGCCGCGUGUGUGAAGAAGGCCCUCGGGUGGUAAAGCACUUUCAGUGAGGAAGAACGCCUGGUGGUUAAUACCCAUCAGGAAAGACAUCACUCACAGAAGAAGCACCGGCUAACUCCGUGCCAGCAGCCGCGGUAAUACGGAGGGUGCGAGCGUUAAUCGGAAUUACUGGGCGUAAAGCGCGCGUAGGUGGCUUGAUAAGCCGGUUGUGAAAGCCCCGGGCUCAACCUGGGAACGGCAUCCGGAACUGUCAAGCUAGAGUGCAGGAGAGGAAGGUAGAAUUCCCGGUGUAGCGGUGAAAUGCGUAGAGAUCGGGAGGAAUACCAGUGGCGAAGGCGGCCUUCUGGACUGACACUGACACUGAGGUGCGAAAGCGUGGGUAGCAAACAGGAUUAGAUACCCGGGUAGUC
rnacentral:rRNA from 1 species